rnacentral:rRNA from 1 species
UACGUAGGCAGCAAGCGUUGUUCGGAGUUACUGGGCGUAAAGGGUGUGUAGGCGGUUGUUUAAGUUUGGUGUGAAAUCUCCCGGCUCAACUGGGAGGGUGCGCCGAAUACUGAAUGACUAGAGUGUGGGAGAGGUGAGUGGAAUUCCUGGUGUAGCGGUGGAAUGCGUAGAGAUCCGGAAGAACACCGGUGGCGAAGGCGGUCUGCUGGGCCAACACUGACGCUGAGGCGCGACAGCGUGGGGAGCAAACAGG